rnacentral:lncRNA from 1 species
AGAUUCGUGACUCAGCUACAAUGAACUCCAUUAAAAUUCUUUGAAGCAUUCAAUUGCCGCAACAGACCUAGAGGAAAAUAGCCCAAUUAGCUCACCCGCUCGCCAAAAAUAAGAAAUGGAGGGAAAGAAAUCCAAGAACACAAACCUACACUACAAUGGGUGAGUGGAUAAGAAGCAUAAACAUGUAGCAAUACAAUAAGCCUCUGAAGGAGACAUGGCGGCUCAGCGGCGACGGCAAGAGAGGUGGGCCGCUGGCUAGCAUCCUCUUCAGUCUCAGCGUAGUACCUACAAAGAAAUGUACCCCUUUAGAAAUACCGAACCAUUACAAAUGCAGCCUCCCAUAAAAAUAUAACCCUCUUCUGAUAAUAACAAAAAAAUUGGUAAAUACAUUUUUCAUUAGCAAGAGAAGGGGCAACCUCUUUGUUUGUUGAUAGCUUAGCAGGCUCCAAACGCAGGGAAAACUCUUGUUGGUUGAUAGCUUGUAAGUCACUAAAGGUAGCUUGAGGUCCCCACACAAAAAAGAAGUCAUCUGAGAUCACAUAAGAGACAUAAUAUAAAUUUCAAAUAUUUACAAGUAAAGUCGCAGUUUGGUUUGGUCUGUUCCCUUGAAAGAAAAAUGUAAUGCCCAUCUCAGCAUUAGUAAUACAAAUCCAUCUUUCAACAAUUAAGUACAAAAUAAUAUAUUCAACUAUCUGAGCAUAGUUCUCAGGAAUAAUACUUUCUGUGUGGGAUGGAUCUGUGGGUAAGAAACAGAACAAAUAAUAUUAAGAUAACUAUGAUGCAUCUCAAUUCAGAUGGGCCACUGACCAAAGGGUUAUAAGCAUUGCAAUGUUAUAUACUGACCAAAUCAGUAUUGCUCAGUAUAACUGUAAGGCCUCUUGUUUUGGACAAAGGAUAGAUAUUUGAUAUAUCACAGGAAAUGCAGCAUGAUAUAAUAGUAUCAGGAGUACAUUACAUAGGUCGAAGGAUUUAUAAUAAUUAGACCAGGUCAUAAUAAUUAGUACAGCACAAAAAUGUAAUGCAAGCUUUUCUUUCUAAGGCCACCACUGGGUGAUAAUGAAAAAGGGAAUGCAUGCUACAUCGAGUACUGAAGGUAAAAGUAUUUUUGGCUGGCUGAGAAGGGUAACGUGUUCCUCAUUUGAUAGGCAUGGUUGCACCUCAAACCAAUCAAUCAAAAGCCUGGAUGCUUACAGGAAAGAGGUUACACUAUGUGUGCACGUAUGAAGAUUUAUAAUUCACCAUGAAAUUUAUUAAAAUGGGAACUGCCUUAUUAUUAGGUAGCAUAUUAGAAGCAUUCCAUGCAAAAUUUUAUGCAUAUUAGUCUAUCUUAACAUGCUUAUAUAACCCAACGGAGAUUACAUAUCUCAACUUUCAAGUAUGGCAAAUGGAGAUUCAUGAGCAUAGUUACUAUAACCCACCUCUCAACUCUCAAGCUCAUCUUCCUCCAGAAUAGAAAGUGCUCGGCGCACUUGGGGAUUACAAUUUUGGUUCCUUCUGAUAUGCCACGUGCCACUGGGUUUUCUGAAGGGCACUCACCUAUGUGAUUCCCUUCCUUGCAAUUAUCCUAGGGUGCAGAUUCUUUGUGUUAACUUUCAGAGGUUACUGGACAACAAUUGGUACAUCCAUGCAACUGGUACAGUGUACGCCCCCGCAAAAAAAAACUGGUACAGUGUACGUAAACAUGUGUAUAUCAAUUAGCAGGAAAAUAAUAUUGGCAAACUGAUUUUCUCCUAUACCAAGCGCAUCAUGCAGAACUGAAUCUAUGACACACUGGUGAAAAACAAUGCUGCAAUUAGCGAUAAGACAUGGGAUUUUAUGACAAAAAUAAUGGCUAAUUACAUGAGUGGUAUCAGGUUUCAAAGAUCUUGUGAUACCAAGAUUACUAAAGUAUAGUGAUUAAAAGGGAAACAUGAUUACUGAACAUUAUUUAUUGCCAAAUUAUUAUCUUUGAAGAACUCCCACAGAAAAAAAGAAAUAGAUAAGUUGUAAAGAUCACCGUGCAUUUUCACUAAAUCUUGAACUAAAUUCAGUUCAUAAAUUUAAAAGCAUUCUCUGAAGGGCUUGAACUAAGAAAGAUGAUGAGCCGGAGAUUAACUACAUUGGGGGUUUCAACAACAUAUACAUAGCAGCAACUCUUAUAGAUCCUACCUAACACAUGCAGUAGAAAUGUUUUGGUAGGGAAUCAAAGAUAAAUAAAAUUUAUCUGGUUCCUAACCAUUUAUGUGGGGUUACAUGAUGUAUUCAAUGACCCUGAGAAUAGUGCAGGGAAUUUAAGGGUAUGGAGUCAUACUUGUCUGCAGUUAUAAAAGAAGAGUUGCUUGUCUGUUGCGUGAGUUCAAGAGCGACGAACGUGAAUGGUUUCAAGGAGGUUAACAGUCGCACUACCAGUUCACUACAGUUCAGUCGCUCGACACCAUAACCGACGGUUGCGUCCUUUACUGGUUUGAUUCAAACUAUCAUUGGUAUGCUUCCUCCUUCUGUGCAUAAACACCCAGGGAUAAAUUCAUCUACAGGGUCAAAAUAGGUGUUGGAUUAAUGCAUAUUCAGAACUUGGGACCAAGAAAAAGUCCACAAUUGCGGAGUAAUGCAUUAUUGGCAGAAAUAGAGAAGUAGCUAUAAUUAUUAAAAACGCCAAGAGCCUUCACUAAAUGUUUUGGUGGCGGAAAUAGAGUAAUAUAGGAACCUGUUUAAAAAACUUCUAAUCUGAUUUGGUGGCAACUCUUGCUGCAACGACAAGUGCCCAUGCAUCUGAUAAAAUAUAAACCUUAUAGUUAAUUUACACGCGUGGGAUGAAACAUAUUAUUGUGAGCAUUUGUAAUAGAUAUAUCCAUUUGCACGCAUGUAUGCCAACUAAAACUUCUGUGAAGAGCACACAUCAUAUGUCUGGCACCAAAAUCAGGGUACUUGUUGAUUUUUCAAUCUGCACGGCACCAAAGGGGAAUUGUGCGUGCAACACCUAUCAGUUUCCUUGUGCUGCUAAUUUCUAAAAAAUAGGACACGUGACUGCGGUAGUGUUUGGCAGAACUGGAGAUAGUUUCUUUCAAUUAGCUGCCAGAACAUGUAGGCCCUACAUAUGAAAAAGUUGUGGAAAAGAACAAAAAGCUAAUUCUUUGGAUUACAAAGUGAAAAGACAAUUUCUAGCUAUGGUACAAUAUGUAGCUGACAACAAGAUUUACCCUCGGUGCAAGGUCGCUAUUCACUGCAUAUUCGCCUGGCCGGGAGGACUAUUGAAAUAGCUAUAAUGAAUCCUACAUCCAAGCAGAAUAUUGGGC